UACGGGGGGGGCAAGCGUUGUUCGGAAUUACUGGGCGUAAAGGGCUCGUAGGUGGCCAACUAAGUCAGACGUGAAAUCCCUCAGCUUAACUGGGGAACUGCGUCUGAUACUGGAUGGCUUGAGUUUGGGAGAGGGAUGCGGAAUUCCAGGUGUAGCGGUGAAAUGCGCAGAUAUCAGGAGGAACACCGGUGGCGAAGGCGGGUCUCUGGGCCGAUACUGACGCUGAGGAGCGAAAGCGUGGGGAGCGAACAGG
rnacentral:rRNA from 1 species